UACGUAGGGUGCGAGCGUUGUCCGGAAUUAUUGGGCGUAAAGGGCUCGUAGGCGGUUUGUCGCGUCGGGAGUGAAAACUCAGGGCUUAACCCUGAGCCUGCUCCCGAUACGGGCAGACUAGAGGUAUGCAGGGGAGAACGGAAUUCCUGGUGUAGCGGUGAAAUGCGCAGAUAUCAGGAGGAACACCGGUGGCGAAGGCGGUUCUCUGGGCAUUACCUGACGCUGAGGAGCGAAAGCAUGGGGAGCGAACAGG
rnacentral:rRNA from 1 species